ensembl:lncRNA XIST X inactive specific transcript
CAGCCUCCCAAGUAGCUGGGAUUACAGUCAUGCACCACCACGCCCGGCUAAUUUUGUAUUUUUAAUAGAGACGGUGUUUCUCCAUGUUGGUCAGGCUGGUCUCAAACUCCUGACCUCAGGUGAUCCGCCCACCUCAACCUCCCAAAGUGCUGGGAUUAUGGGCGUGAGCCACCGCGCCCGGCAGUUCUGGUCUUUAACUAAGGUAUAAGGCUAUGACUGGUAGUGGUGUCUCUAGUGACUCAUCAAGUGAUAUUUGGCAAGACAUUUUCCCAUUUAUGCCAGUUUCCUAUUCUGUUGAAUGAGGAAAUUUUCUCUCUAAAGACCUAAAAGUUUUGACUUUAUAGGUUUCAAAGUUCUGUGGAAACAUUUUCUAUUGCUUAUUAAUUUGAAUCUUAUGUAACUCUAGCACAGUACUCAAUAUUUAUGGCAUUUACAUGGUUUAUCUCAUGUUUUUUUAUAGCUCUUCAUUGUUCCUAUCUGCCAAAUCAUUAUACUUCCUACAAGCAGUGCAGAGAGCUGAGUCUUCAGCAGGUCCAAGAAAUUUGAACACACUGAAGGAAGUCAGCCUUCCCACCUGAAGAUCAACAUGCCUGGCACUCUAGCACUUGAGGAUAGCUGAAUGAAUGUGUAUUUCUUUGUCUCUUUCUUUCUUGUCUUUGCUCUUUGUUCUCUAUCUAAAGUGUGUCUUACCCAUUUCCAUGUUUCUCUUGCUAAUUUCUUUCGUGUGUGCCUUUGCCUCAUUUUCUCUUUUUGUUCACAAGAGUGGUCUGUGUCUUGUCUUAGACAUAUCUCUCAUUUUUCAUUUUGUUGCUAUUUCUCUUUGCUCUCCUAGAUGUGGCUCUUCUUUCACGCUUUAUUUCAUGUCUCCUUUUUGGGUCACAUGCUGUGUGCUUUUUGUCCUUUUCUUGUUCUGUCUACCUCUCCUUUCUCUGCCUACCUCUCUUUUCUCUUUGUGAACUGUGAUUAUUUGUUACCCCUUCCCCUUCUCGUUCGUUUUAAAUUUCACCUUUUUUCUGAGUCUGGCCUCCUUUCUGCUGUUUCUACUUUUUAUCUCACAUUUCUCAUUUCUGCAUUUCCUUUCUGCCUCUCUUGGGCUAUUCUCUCUCUCCUCCCCUGCGUGCCUCAGCAUCUCUUGCUGUUUGUGAUUUUCUAUUUCAGUAUUAAUCUCUGUUGGCUUGUAUUUGUUCUCUGCUUCUUCCCUUUCUACUCACCUUUGAGUAUUUCAGCCUCUUCAUGAAUCUAUCUCCCUCUCUUUGAUUUCAUGUAAUCUCUCCUUAAAUAUUUCUUUGCAUAUGUGGGCAAGUGUACGUGUGUGUGUGUCAUGUGUGGCAGAGGGGCUUCCUAACCCCUGCCUGAUAGGUGCAGAACGUCGGCUAUCAGAGCAAGCAUUGUGGAGCGGUUCCUUAUGCCAGGCUGCCAUGUGAGAUGAUCCAAGACCAAAACAAGGCCCUAGACUGCAGUAAAACCCAGAACUCAAGUAGGGCAGAAGGUGGAAGGCUCAUAUGGAUAGAAGGCCCAAAGUAUAAGACAGAUGGUUUGAGACUUGAGACCCGAGGACUAAGAUGGAAAGCCCAUGUUCCAAGAUAGAUAGAAGCCUCAGGCCUGAAACCAACAAAAGCCUCAAGAGCCAAGAAAACAGAGGGUGGCCUGAAUUGGACCGAAGGCCUGAGUUGGAUGGAAGUCUCAAGGCUUGAGUUAGAAGUCUUAAGACCUGGGACAGGACACAUGGAAGGCCUAAGAACUGAGACUUGUGACACAAGGCCAACGACCUAAGAUUAGCCCAGGGUUGUAGCUGGAAGACCUACAACCCAAGGAUGGAAGGCCCCUGUCACAAAGCCUACCUAGAUGGAUAGAGGACCCAAGCGAAAAAGGUAUCUCAAGACUAACGGCCGGAAUCUGGAGGCCCAUGACCCAGAACCCAGGAAGGAUAGAAGCUUGAAGACCUGGGGAAAUCCCAAGAUGAGAACCCUAAACCCUACCUCUUUUCUAUUGUUUACACUUCUUACUCUUAGAUAUUUCCAGUUCUCCUGUUUAUCUUUAAGCCUGAUUCUUUUGAGAUGUACUUUUUGAUGUUGCCGGUUACCUUUAGAUUGACAGUAUUAUGCCUGGGCCAGUCUUGAGCCAGCUUUAAAUCACAGCUUUUACCUAUUUGUUAGGCUAUAGUGUUUUGUAAACUUCUGUUUCUAUUCACAUCUUCUCCACUUGAGAGAGACACCAAAAUCCAGUCAGUAUCUAAUCUGGCUUUUGUUAACUUCCCUCAGGAGCAGACAUUCAUAUAGGUGAUACUGUAUUUCAGUCCUUUCUUUUGACCCCAGAAGCCCUAGACUGAGAAGAUAAAAUGGUCAGGUUGUUGGGGAAAAAAAAGUGCCAGGCUCUCUAGAGAAAAAUGUGAAGAGAUGCUCCAGGCCAAUGAGAAGAAUUAGACAAGAAAUACACAGAUGUGCCAGACUUCUGAGAAGCACCUGCCAGCAACAGCUUCCUUCUUUGAGCUUAGGUGAGCAGGAUUCUGGGGUUUGGGAUUUCUAGUGAUGGUUAUGGAAAGGGUGACUGUGCCUGGGACAAAGCGAGGUCCCAAGGGGACAGCCUGAACUCCCUGCUCAUAGUAGUGGCCAAAUAAUUUGGUGGACUGUGCCAACGCUACUCCUGGGUUUAAUACCCAUCUCUAGGCUUAAAGAUGAGAGAACCUGGGACUGUUGAGCAUGUUUAAUACUUUCCUUGAUUUUUUUCUUCCUGUUUAUGUGGGAAGUUGAUUUAAAUGACUGAUAAUGUGUAUGAAAGCACUGUAAAACAUAAGAGAAAAACCAAUUAGUGUAUUGGCAAUCAUGCAGUUAACAUUUGAAAGUGCAGUGUAAAUUGUGAAGCAUUAUGUAAAUCAGGGGUCCACAGUUUUUCUGUAAGGGGUCAAAUCAUAAAUACUUUAGACUGUGGGCCAUAUGGUUUCUGUUACAUAUUUGUUUUUUAAACAACGUUUUUAUAAGGUCAAAAUCAUUCUUAGUUUUUGAGCCAAUUGGAUUUGGCCUGCUGUUCAUAGCUUACCACCCCCUGAUGUAUUAUUUGUUAUUCAGAGAAAAUUUCUGAAUACUACUAGUUUCCUUUUCUGUGCCUGUCCCUGUGCUAGGCACUAAAAAUGCAAUGAUUAUUGAUAUCUAGGUGACCUGAAAAAAAAUAGUGAAUGUGCUUUGUAAACUGUAAAGCACUUGUAUUCUACUGUGAUAAGCGUUGUGGAUACAAAGAAAGGAGCAAGCAUAAAAAAGUGCUCUUUCAAAAGGAUAUAGUACUAUGCAGACACAAGGAAUUGUUUGAUAAAUGAAUAAAUUAUAUGUAUAUUUGAGGCCAAUUUGUGUUUGCUGCUCUGGUAAUUUUGAGUAAAAAUGCAGUAUUCCAGGUAUCAGAAACGAAAACACAUGGAAACUGCUUUUAAACUUUAAAAUAUACUGAAAACAUAAGGGACUAAGCUUGUUGUGGUCACCUAUAAUGUGCCAGAUACCAUGCUGGGUGCUAGAGCUACCAAAGGGGGAAAAGUAUUCUCAUAGAACAAAAAAUUUCAGAAAGGUGCAUAUUAAAGUGCUUUGUAAACUAAAGCAUGAUACAAAUGUCAAUGGGCUACAUAUUUAUGAAUGAAUGAAUGGAUGAAUGAAUAUUAAGUGCCUCUUACAUACCAGCUAUUUUGGGUACUGUAAAAUACAAGAUUAAUUCUCCUAUGUAAUAAGAGGAAAGUUUAUCCUCUAUACUAUUCAGAUGUAAGGAAUGAUAUAUUGCUUAAUUUUAAACAAUCAAGACUUUACUGGUGAGGUUAAGUUAAAUUAUUACUGAUACAUUUUUCCAGGUAACCAGGAAAGAGCUAGUAUGAGGAAAUGAAGUAAUAGAUGUGAGAUCCAGACCGAAAGUCACUUAAUUCAGCUUGCGAAUGUGCUUUCUAAAUUAUAAAGCACUUGUAAAUGAAAAAUUUGAUGCUUUCUGUAUGAAUAAAACUUUCUGUAAGCUAGGUAUUGUCUCUACAAAAUUCUCAUUGUAUAGUUAAACCACAGUGAGAAGGGUUCUAUAAGUAGUUAUACAAACCAAGGGUUUAAAUACCUGUUAAAUAGAUCAAUUUUGAUUGCCUACUAUGUGAACUCACUGUUAAAGGCACUGAAAAUUUAUCAUAUUUCAUUUAGCCACAGCCAAAAAUAAGGCAAUACCUAUGUUAGCAUUUUGUGAACUCUAAGGCACCAUAUAAAUGUAACUGUUGAUUUUCUCACUUGGUGCUGGGUACUAGGUUUAUAAAAUUGUAUGAUAGUUAUUAUAUUGUGCAAAUAAAGUAGGAAAAUUUGAAUAACAAUGAUUAUCUUUUGAAUACGCAUACGCAAGGGAUUGGUUGUCUGAAGAAUGCCACUAUAGUAGUUAUCUAUUGUGUGCCAAUCUCAUUGCUAGGCAUUGGGGAUGCAAAGAUAAACCAUCUUUAUUGUGUCUUGGGUAGCAGAAGAAAAUAUGUGUAAAAUCAAUUUAUAAUUUGUAAACUGCCACCCAUAUAUAAGCUAUAUCUGCUGAAUGAUCAUUGAUUACUCUUAUCCUUAGAGAUAACAACUGGGGGCACAAACAUUUAUUAUCAUUAUUGAACCUACAACAGAGAUCUAUGUGUAGAUUUACAAAGCCUACAGUUCUAUACAGAUAGGAAUGAACUAUUGGCUUACUGAAUGGUGAUUACUUUCUGUGGGGCUCGGAACUACAUGCCCUAGGAUAUAAAAAUGAUGUUAUCAUUAUAGAGUGCUCACAGAAGGAAAUGAAGUAAUAUAGGUGUGAGAUCCAGACCAAAAGUCAUUUAACAAGUUUAUUCAGUGAUGAAAACAUGGGACAAAUGGACUAAUAUAAGGCAGUGUACUAAGCUGAGUAGAGAGAUAAAGUCCUGUCCAGAAGAUACAUGCUUCCUGGCCUGAUUGAGGAGAUGGAAAAUUUUUGCAAAAAACAAGGUGUUGUGGUCUUCCAUCCAGUUUCUUAAGUGCUGAUGAUAAAAGUGAAUUAGACCCACCUUGACCUGGCCUACAGAAGUAAAGGAGUAAAAAUAAAUGCCUCAGGCGUGCUUUUUGAUUCAUUUGAUAAACAAAGCAUCUUUUAUGUGGAAUAUACCAUUCUGGGUCCUGAGGAUAAGAGAGAUGAGGGCAUUAGAUCACUGACAGCUGAAGAUAGAAGAACAUCUUUGGUUUGAUUGUUUAAAUAAUAUUUCAAUGCCUAUUCUCUGCAAGGUACUAUGUUUCGUAAAUUAAAUAGGUCUGGCCCAGAAGACCCACUCAAUUGC